rnacentral:rRNA from 1 species
UGGGGAAUCUUCCGCAAUGGGCGAAAGCCUGACGGAGCAACGCCGCGUGAGUGAUGACGGCCUUCGGUUGUAAAGCUCUGUGAUCGGGGACGAACGGUCAGCAGACGAAUACUCUGCUGAAGUGACGGUACCCGAAUAGCAAGCCACGGCUAACUACGUGCCAGCAGCCGCGGUAAUACGUAGGUGGCAAGCGUUGUCCGGAAUUAUUGGGCGUAAAGCGCGCGCAGGCGGCUUCUUAAGUCCAUCUUAAAAGUGCGGGGCUUAACCCCGUGAUGGGAUGGAAACUGAGAGGCUGGAGUAUCGGAGAGGAAAGUGGAAUUCCUAGUGUAGCGGUGA